rnacentral:rRNA from 1 species
CACGUAGGGACCAAGCGUUGUCCGGAUUUAUUGGGCGUAAAGCGCUCGUAGGCGGUUCGGUAAGUCGGGUGUGAAACCUCCAGGCUCAACCUGGUGACGCCACCCGAUACUGCUGUGACUAGAGUGCGGUAGGGGAGCGGGGAAUUCCUGGUGUAGCGGUGAAAUGCGCAGAUAUCAGGAGGAACACCGGUGGCGAAGGCGGGUCUCUGGGCCGAUACUGACGCUGAGGAGCGAAAGCGUGGGGAGCGAACAGG